UUACGGCCAUAUCAUGUUGAAACACCAGUUUUUAUCCAAUCACUGAAGUUAAGCAAUGUUGAACCUGGUCAGUACCUAGAUGGGUGACUGCCUUGGAAUACCAGGUGCUGUAA